AUUGAACGCUGGCGGCAUGCCUAACACAUGUAAGUCGAACGGCAGCACGGUCUGGCUUGCUAGACGGGUGGCGAGUGGCGAACGGGUGAGUAACGCGUAGGAAUAUACCUUGAAGUGGGGGACAACCUGGGGAAACUCAGGCUAAUACCGCGUAAUCUCUUCGGAGGGAAGCUGGGGACCACAAGGCCUCGCGCUUUAAGAUUAGCCUGCGUCCGAUUAGCUAGUUGGUGGGGUAAAGGCCUACCAAGGCGACGAUCGGUAGCUGGGCUGAGAGGAUGAUCAGCCACACUGGGACUGAGACACGGCCCAGACUCCUACGGGAGGCAGCAGUGGGGAAUAUUGGACAAUGGGGGGAACCCUGAUCCAGCAAUGCCGCGUGUGUGAAGAAGGCCUGAGGGUUGUAAAGCACUUUCGGCGGGGAGGAGGAUGAGUUGGUUAAGAGCUGACUUAUUGGACGUUACCCGCAUAAGAAGCACCGGCUAACUCCGUGCCAGCCGCCGCCGUAAAAC
rnacentral:rRNA from 1 species